GACGGAGUCCGGACGAAGUCUUCCUGUAGUCGGGGUCGGGGACGGAGUCCGGCUCCCGUAGGAGUCCGGACGAAGUCUUCCUGCAGUCGGAGUCGGUGGCGAAGUCCGGCUCCCGUAGGAGUCCAUCCGUCGUGAAGAAUCUGGUCGACGCUGGUGGGGGUUUAUCCAUCGACAGAACUUGGGAAUGCUACUGAGGCUCGG
rnacentral:lncRNA from 1 species